UGCCAGCCGCCGCGGUAAUACGAAGGGGGCUAGCGUUGUUCGGAAUUACUGGGCGUAAAGCGCGUGUAGGCGGUUCGUUAAGUCUGAUGUGAAAGCCCGGGGCUCAACCCCGGAAGUGCAUUGGAAACUGGCGAACUUGAGUACGGGAGAGGAAAGUGGAAUUCCGAGUGUAGGGGUGAAAUACGUAGAUAUCUGGAAGAACACCAGAGGCGAAGGCGGUCUCUUGGUCCGAAACUGACGCUGAGGCGCGAAAGCGUGGGGAGCAAACAGGAUUAGAUA
rnacentral:rRNA from 1 species